rnacentral:rRNA from 1 species
AACGAACGCUGGCGGCAUGCCUAACACAUGCAAGUCGAACGAGACCUUCGGGUCUAGUGGCGCACGGGUGCGUAACGCGUGGGAACCUGCCCUUAGGUUCGGAAUAACUCCCCGAAAGGGGUGCUAAUACCGGAUAAUGUCUUCGGACCAAAGAUUUAUCGCCUUUGGAUGGGCCCGCGUUGGAUUAGCUAGUUGGUAGGGUAAAAGCCUACCAAGGCGACGAUCCAUAGCUGGUCUGAGAGGAUGAUCAGCCACACUGGGACUGAGACACGGCCCAGACUCCUACGGGAAGCAGCAGUGGGGAAUAUUGGACAAUGGGCGAAAGCAUGAUCCAGCAAUGCCGCGUGAGUGAUGAAGGCCUUAGGGUUGUAAAGCUCUUUUAACCGGGAUGAUAAUGACAGUACCGGGAGAAUAAGCUCCGGCUAACUCCGUG